rnacentral:rRNA from 1 species
GUCUACAGCCAUGCCACCCUGAACGAGCCCCAUUCCGUCUGAUCUUGGAAACUAAGGAGGGUUGGGCCUGGUUAGUACUUGAAUGGGAGAUCAUCUAGGAAGACCAGGUUUUGUAGGCA